rnacentral:rRNA from 1 species
UGGGGAAUUUUGGACAAUGGGCGAAAGCCUGAUCCAGCAAUGCCGCGUGUGUGAAGAAGGCCUUCGGGUUGUAAAGCACUUUUGUCCGGAAAGAAAUGGCUCUGGUUAAUACCUGGGGUCGAUGACGGUACCGGAAGAAUAAGGACCGGCUAACUACGUGCCAGCAGCCGCGGUAAUACGUAGGGUCCAAGCGUUAAUCGGAAUUACUGGGCGUAAAGCGUGCGCAGGCGGUUGUGCAAGACCGAUGUGAAAUCCCCGAGCUUAACUUGGGAAUUGCAUUGGUGACUGCACGGCUAGAGUGUGUCAGAGGGGGGUAGAAUUCCACGUGUAGCAGUGAAAUGCGUAGAGAUGUGGAGGAAUACCGAUGGCGAAGGCAGCCCCCUGGGAUAACACUGACGCUCAUGCACGAAAGCGUGGGGAGCAAACAGGAUUAGAUACCCUGGUAGUCCACGCCCUAAAACGAUGUCAACUAGUUGUUGGGGGAUUCAUUUCCUUAGUAACGUAGCUAACGCGUGAAGUUGACCGCCUGGGGAGUACGGUCGCAAGAUU